rnacentral:rRNA from 1 species
UGGGGAAUCUUCCGCAAUGGGCGAAAGCCUGACGGAGCAACGCCGCGUGAGUGAUGAAGGUCUUCGGAUCGUAAAACUCUGUUAUUAGGGAAGAACAUAUGUGUAAGUAACUGUGCACAUCUUGACGGUACCUAAUCAGAAAGCCACGGCUAACUACGUGCCAGCAGCCGCGGUAAUACGUAGGUGGCAAGCGUUAUCCGGAAUUAUUGGGCGUAAAGCGCGCGUAGGCGGUUUUUUAAGUCUGAUGUGAAAGCCCACGGCUCAACCGUGGAGGGUCAUUGGAAACUGGAAAACUUGAGUGCAGAAGAGGAAAGUGGAAUUCCAUGUGUAGCGGUGAAAUGCGCAGAGAUAUGGAGGAACACCAGUGGCGAAGGCGACUUUCUGGUCUGUAACUGACGCUGAUGUGCGAAAGCGUGGGGAUCAAACAGGAUUAGAUACCCUGGUAGUCCACGCCGUAACGAUGAGUGCUAAGUGUUAGGGGGUUUCCGCCCCUUAGUGCUGCAGCUAACGCAUUAAGCACUCCGCCUGGGGAGUACGACCGCAAGGUUG